rnacentral:rRNA from 1 species
AUUGCCUCGGAUCAGGUAGGGAUACCCGCUGAACUUAAGCAUAUCAAUAAGCCGGAGGA